GGGAGAGCGCCUUGGCCGCUGGCCUGGCUCGUGGUUUCCCCUGGUGCUGGGGAGUGGAGGCGAGUUGUGCUUCCUGCCGGGAGAGAGAAGGGCCUUGGGAAGCUGCUCCAUGAGCCACAGCUGUGCCGAGCCCGGCAGUCUGUCCAGGAUGUCGAGUGCCACCGUGUCCCUGAGGUCACCCUUUCUCCUGUUGGAAGAGCACGAGGUGGAUGGAGAGGAUCCCCAGGCAUCUGCAGGCACAAGGCACUUGUACAACUGCAAUUUUCCUACAGCCCUCGUGAGAGGGACUUUGAGGGUACCAUGGGUCAUGUGCCAGCUCUCCUGCUGGAGUGUUUAUCUUCUCCUACAUUUGAACAUAAAGAGUAAAAUUAAUGUCAGGUUUGUU